AGUGAACGCUGGCGGUAGGCCUAACACAUGCAAGUCGAACGGCAGCACAGGAGAGCUUGCUCUCUGGGUGGCGAGUGGCGGACGGGUGAGGAAUACAUCGGAAUCCACUCUGUCGUGGGGGAUAACGUAGGGAAACUUACGCUAAUACCGCAUACGACCUACGGGUGAAAGCAGGGGACCUUCGGGCCUUGCGCGAUUGAAUGAGCCGAUGUCGGAUUAGCUAGUUGGCGGGGUAAAGGCCCACCAAGGCGACGAUCCGUAGCUGGUCUGAGAGGAUGAUCAGCCACACUGGAACUGAGACACGGUCCAGACUCCUACGGGAGGCAGCAGUGGGGAAUAUUGGACAAUGGGCGCAAGCCUGAUCCAGCCAUACCGCGUGGGUGAAGAAGGCCUUCGGGUUGUAAAGCCCUUUUGUUGGGAGAGAAAUCCAGCUGGCUAAUACCCGGUUGGGAUGACGGUACCCAAAGAAUAAGCACCGGCUAACUUCGUGCCAGCCGCCGCGGUAA
rnacentral:rRNA from 1 species